GUACUUCUGAAGAGUCCCAAACUAGGACGAAACAGCCGUCCAGCAC
rnacentral:hammerhead_ribozyme from 1 species